GUAACGCGUAGGCAACCUGCCCUUUGCAGAGGGAUAGCCUCGGGAAACCGGGAGUUAAAAACCUCAUAAUGCGCGACUGGGACAUCCCAGACGCGCCAAAGAUUUAUCGGCAAGGGAUGGGCCUGCGUCUGAUUAGUUAGUUGUGGGGUAACGGCCUACCAAGGCAGCGAUCAGUAGCCGACCUGAGAGGGUGAUCGGCCACAUUGGAACUGAGACACGGUCCAAACUCCUACGGGAGGCAGCAGUGGGGAAUAUUGCACAAUGGGCGAAAGCCUUGAUGCAGCAACGCCGCGUGAAGGAUGAAGGCCCUUGGGUCGUAAACUUCUGUUCUAAGGGAAGAUAAUGACGGUACCUUAGGAGCAAGUCCCGGCUAACUACGUGCCAGCAGCUGC
rnacentral:rRNA from 1 species